UCCAGCGACAAGAGAGAACCUCCUGAGAGGUUUGGUAGAAUCUCCUUGUCAGGGGAUUCGGGUUUCGGUCCCACCCCUGAGAGGGAGUCCUCCCACACUCAAGCCCUUCCUUUUCUUCCCUCUCCCCUGGUUCUCUCCUGAGCCCGCCCUUUGCCCUAGUUUCUCCUCUUAGGGGUGGGGGUUGGGGGGAAUGGAGCUGGGCUUGCCAGUAGGGUUGUCAUAUUUAGCAGUAAAAAUACAGGAUGCUAGUUCAAAUUUAAAUUUCACAUAAACAAUACAUAAUUCUUUAGUAUAAUAUGUGUCCGAUAUCAAAUAAAAUUAAAAUAUAAAAACAUCAUUUGUUAACUGUCUGAAAUUUAACUGGGCAUCCUGUUUUUUACCUGGCAAUCCUAGGCAAAAAUAGCAUUUAUGUACCUCCUAUUUACGGUAUCCUUUCAUAGCACUCCCAGUAUGGGGAGUGUUAUAAUCCAUGUUCUGAUGAACCCCAAAGGGUCUUGCUCAAGGUUAUGCAACUAGUAAGUAACCAGGCUGGGAUACCUUAAAAGCCCAUUUCAAUUCUGCUAUCUCUCGUCAGGUGUGCAAUUCAAGGAAAGACUCAUGGAGAGCUCGUCCAAUUGUUAGAAUGAAUCUCCUUAAUAAAAGCCAAUUUAUCUUUCAGAGGGGCUAUAGAGUUGUUUUAUAUUCAGGUUCUCUGCUGUGGCAUUUACCUUAUAUUUGGGGGAAGAAACUGUAUUAAACUGUCAAGGAAUAUUGAUUUACUAUAUGAUGAUGAAAGUAUAUUUUAUAUUAUUAAAUCACAAUAGCAUAUCAUUUGACUUUGACAUCAGUGAACAAGGUUAUGUUCAUACAGUAGACCCAUACAUCUCUGUAAGCAUAGUGAUUAAGGCAGUAUAGGGUAUUCUGAAAUGAGACAUACCUCGGUUCAAAGCCUAGCUUCACGAACACUUUGAUGCAGUAGGUAAGUUACAGAAUCUCUCUGGGCCUCUGUUUGCUCUUUUUAAAAAAGAAAUAGUAAUUAUAACCACUUCGUAGGGUUGUUGUACUAAAUUCUUAUCAAGUGCCUGGAACAUUUAAAUUAAUUAAUUUUAGCUAUGAUUUGCCAUUAUACUUUGAGUAUAAUGUGGAUUUUGGCAUAAAUCAUUAGAUAAUUAAAUGUUUUAAUUUUAGUUUUAAGUUGAAAAAAGCCAGUAAUUAAGAAUAUUAUGAAUAUUGUGAAUUUCAGUGAAAUGUACUAUUCAAUAAUAAAAGAGAUAUUUUAGAUAAUAUACCAGUUUCACUAAAUCAACUAUCUGUAAGCCAAGUUAAUAGAAUAAAAUAUUUGUAUAUCAGUCUCAGUAAUUGCUCCUCAUGUAUAAUUUUAUAUGAUUUUCAUUUUCAUUGUGUUAUAAACAGGAAGAAAACUUACCAAGCACCAACGGAGAGAAAAUAACUACAGGGUGAGGGGUAAAGCCAGAAAAUAGGUCUAUGAUCAGUGGCUGUUUAUGGUGAGGUAGACUUAGUAUGUUUUAAAAACCAAAUGUCAAGCUUUGUAGGGAUUUUAUAUUUCUUUGUAUAUUGUCUUAUUUCCUUAGUGUUUACAGUGUUAACUUAGUUCACUUACAAACUAUUCUCUAAAAUUCCUCUUGGGAACUUUUUUCAGUUUUUCUCUAAAAAACUACAAAAGCUUUCUACUACCUUGAAGGGAAUGUGGAAUUGUGAAAAUUGAAAUUAACAACUAUGGACUAUUAUCCAAAUAAUUGUAAACAAGUCACUGAACACAUCUGAGCCUUGCUUUAUCUCUAAAAUCAAAACAAAUGAAAACCUACCCCACCAUCCCCAAGGUUUAUAAAUGCUACCGAUUACUGUAACUCUUAUCCACCCGAAAAAAUUCCUCCAUGGAUGAAUCCAACUAUUUGGAUUUUUUGUUCCUGCUGCAGGCUUCCCAGAAGAGCUGGAGAAACUUUCACACUGGAAAGACUUGGUACUAAAAUAAAUUCAUGGUAGUCACCUUCACCUGGACUUUCACACCGCACAGCAGGCCCACUGUGUUUCUCUAACCACUCAUUCUUCCUUUUUAUGCAAUUGCGGUUUCAAAUCCUCUUCACUUCUUUCAAGCUUCUGACAUCCUUUGAAAGCCAUUCUCACUAAGUGACCUCUGUGUUAUUGAGAAAAUUGAGUACCUGAGCUUCUGAAUUUCCUGCUGGAAAAUCUGCCCACUGACCUUCAUCUGCAUCCAUCCAGCUUUCACUGAAUCCUAGUACCUUUGCCUGUGUUCUGAAUUCUUCCUUACUAUCUCAGGGACCUUUAUCAUCAGUUAUCCCUUAUGUCACCUGGAUGGUCAGCCACUGCCUCUAAAUCCUUCCCAUCCGCAUGUAAAUAUUCAUUCCUGCAGUCCCUUCUUCAGGGAACAGUUGUCAGUUACCAUUCUUCCACCCAUCUAAUACUCGAUUUCUUCUCCCAUUUGUAAUCAGUUUUAAAGAACCGUCUGCCCUGAUGUUUCUAUUUCUUUACUUCCCAUUCUCUUGGCAACCUGUUCCCGUUGUUCUUCCAUCCUCACCCCUCUGCUGAAACUAUUCCUGCUAAGGUCCCAAUAGUUUCCUUGUCCCUCAAUCCCAUGGACUUCUGACCUGUUAGGCAACAUUUCAUACCCUAAACCAGUGUUCGGGCAAACUGUAGCAUGUGGACCAAAUAUAGCUUCAGCAUGUUCUUAUAUGGCCUUUGAACUAAAAUAUUUUCAUCUAUCUGGCUCUUUACAGAAAAAGAUUGCCAACCCCUUCUAUAGUUCACUCCCUCCUUUUAAGAAUAAAUUCUUUUGGCUCUUCCCUUAUAAGUAAGUUUUGUUUUCUUUGUACUCUUCUCUCCUUUCUUUCUCAGUCUCUCUGUGGUUACCAGACCCUUAGAUGUUGGAAUUCCUCAACACUUUAUGUUGGAAGUGGGAUCUUCUGGAUCUCAUCUACUCCCAAACUUCUACCUCACAUUUUCUUCUGAACAUCAUACAUGUGUAUUCAACUGCCUACUCAACCUCUCCACUUAAUGUGCUACAGAUAGCCCAAACUCAAUAUAUUUGAAACUGAACUCACAAUCCUGUGCUAACCCUGCCUUUCCUACAGACUGUCAUAACCCAAUAGAGUAUAAAGCUGUUGCUUAUAAAGUUAAUGUCAGAAAUCUGGGAGUCUUUGAACAUCUCUUCCUCUCCUCAUCUUGUUCCACUCACAUCUAAGUAAUCACCAAAUGCUAUUAAUUGUAUUACCUGCUUGGUUUUUAAUCUACUUCAUUCAUUCUGCCCAAUACCACCCUAAAGUCAAAAACACCAUCAUCUGGUCAAAUGCUUUAACCUAAGUAGCCUUCCUCUUUUUCUUUAAAAAAAAUUUUUUUGUAAUUGAAUAAUUCUCAUACCAUAUGGGUUACCCUAAAAUUUACAAUUUAGUAGUUCUUAGCUUAUUCAAGAUUCAAACAUUAGUGGUACAUAUCUGGUAUUUUUGCCAUAAGCAUCUUUGCUGUAGACAUUUUUGCUGCAUAGCUAAGUGGCUUUAGAGCAAUUUUGCCUUAAAACAUAAGAUAACUGGUUGACAGUUUGGUUUCAAAUGAUUGACACUUAGUUUCAUUUCUCCAUUGACACAGUUCUCCCAUUUUUAUAUUCCAUAAAUCCUAGCCCUCAUAAGGAUCGACACAAUGACAAGUAGAUAUGGUAGUAUUAAAAUAGUGGAUGAAAACUGUAUAUCAACUUGAUGGGAAAUAUGGUGAUAAAACUUACCGGAACUGUUAAAUAAGAAUGUAAAGACAGAUUGCAUACUAUACCAGAAAAUGAUAACUCACAAAGCUCAGUUAUAAUUGAGUAUUUGGAAACUGAUACCUCUUUUUUUUCCUUUUUUUGUGCUUUUCAGGGCUGCACCCACGGCGUAUGGAGGUUCCCAGGCUAGGGGUCUAAUCAGAGCUAUAGCUGCCGGCCUACACCAUAGCCACAGCAACACCAGAUACGAGCCUCGUCUGCAACCUACAUCACAGUUCAUGGCAGCGCCGGAUCCUUAACCCAAUGAGCAAGGCCAGGGAUCGAACCCGCAAUCUCAUGGUUCCUAGUCGGAUUUGUUUCUGCUGUGCCACAGUGGGUACUCCUGAUACCUCUCUUAAUGAAAGAAGAAAGUUUAGUGAAAAAGAAAAGGUGCUAUGCCGAAUGAGGAGAGACAUCAACUGCAAAAUAACAAAGUAAAAUGUAUGUGUAAAAUACAUUCUCUUACAUCAUAGUACAAUUAUCAAAAUCAAGAAAUUAAUUUUGAUGUAAUAUUAUCUAAUCUGCUGACCUUAUUAAGAUUUAGCCAGUUGUCAAACUAACGUGUAUGUGUAUUUUACAAAAAAUAAAAAUAAAAGAACAGGGAGUUCCCGUCGUGGCGCAAUGGUUAACAAAUCCGACUAGGAACCAUGAGGUUGCGGGUUCGAUCCCUGCCCUUGCUCAGUGGGUUAACGAUCCGGCGUUGCCGUGAGCUGUGGUGUAGGUUGCAGACGCGGCUCGGAUCCCGCGUUGCUGUGGCUCUGGCGUAGGCCGGCGGCUACAGCUCCGAUUCAACCCCUAGCCUGGGAACCUCCAUAUGCCGCGGGAGCGGCCCAAGAAAUAGCAACAACAACAACAACAAAAAGACAAAAAUAAAUAAAUAAAUAAAUAAAAGAACAGAACAGAAAAAAUGGGGUUUUAGUGGUCUAGAAUCUAAUUCAGUUUCACACAUUGGAUUUAGUCACCAUGUCUCUUUGGUCUGCCUCAUUCUGGAACACUUCCUCACUCUUUGUCUUUAAUAAGACUAGAUGAUGACGGGAGUUUUGGUAUUCAUGAUGCAUCAGCAAUGGAGAGCUCUACUUGAUACUCAAAACAAGAGGAGAGGAUGGUGUCACUCACUGAGCAUGCAGUUUUGGCAUUUGGAGACUAUAUGGGAGCAACUUGUCUGUGCCUGCCUUGUGUGGAAUCAGUGCUCCCAAUGAAAUGCAAAACCUGCAGGCUGAUAGAGGAGGCAGCACACAACGUCCAGGGAGAGCAUUGAUAUGUUAAAUAGAAGAUAUCUUUUCUCUAGAAGAAAGUCUCGGCAACCCACUGUUAAGUAAGACUUUUUUUCGUUUUACAAAAUGGAUCAAGAUGCUUGUUUUGGAUGAAUUCAGUAAAAAUGUUGAGCCAAAGGAUUAAAGGUCAAAUCCAUGAGAUUUACCGGAAAUCAAAUCUGGAUUCAGGCUGUAUUGUUUUCUGCCUUAAUGCUAAUCGAUAUAUUGAAAAUCAUCAAAAAGUUCCCAAGAGAUCCAUUUCAAAUUCCGGUGAAGAAGGAAGAACUGAACUUUGAAAAGGCCAAAAUGUUACAAUAAUUUUGAAAGAGGAAUUGUUCAGAGUUGAUUUGGGAGGAAAGCAAUGGCCGUAAGUGUUGAAGAAGACAAGGAGGUUCUUUGUGAUACUGAUACUUUCUACAAUACUGCAGUGGAGGAAACGCCAGUGGGUAUGACGGACCUUAUUAAAUCCUGGGAUGAAAUGGUUUUGAAUGUGAUGCUUGCUGUUGCAGUGCAGGUGAUCAUGAUGUGCACUGUGCUUCUUUUGCAGGGGGUGGGGGGGUUGCGGGAGGAAUAUUUGAAGCUUGUUUCAAUGCUCAUAACGGAUCAAAAAUAUAGAUUUUGCUGCAAAGCAACUUUAGUCAUGAGCUCUUUUGAGGAAAGUCAUUGCCUUUAUCCUCUUUAGAGUUAGAUUGUUGGUUGGGUCUAAGGGAUUGUGAACAUCUUCCUUAGCAAUUUAUUUCCUAGUUAUCUAAAUAAUAAUUAUAUUGAGUAUUUGUUAUCAUCUAAUAAUAUACUUACAGACUGAAAGAUAUGUGCCUUCAGUGUUUAAACUAGUGUAUCUGCCAUUAUUGUGUUAGUCAUCAGGCUGAGUAGAAUGAACUUUAAAAUUAUUUUUUAAGAAAAUAUUUGAAUUCAUUUUGUUUGGUAUCAUUUUUAUUCAGUAAGGCAUUUAUUUUGUUAGUGGUAAGUGUAAACUAGAGUCUUUUGCUAAGCACCAGCAACAAUCAUAUCCUAUGGUUAAAUCUCAGAAAAAUCGCUAUAUUGCAUAUUGAAUGUUCAGCAAAUUACAAUGAAGUAUAUUUUUCU
rnacentral:lncRNA from 1 species